rnacentral:rRNA from 1 species
UACGGGGGGGGCAAGCGUUGUUCGGAAUUACUGGGCGUAAAGGGCGCGUAGGCGGCCUGCUAAGUCACACGUGAAAUCCCUCGGCUCAACCCGGGAACUGCGUCCGAUACUGGCAGGCUUGAAUUCGGGAGAGGGAUGCGGAAUUCCCGGUGUAGCGGUGGAAUGCGUAGAGAUCGGGAAGAACAUCAGUGGCGAAGGCGGCCUGCUGGGCUGUUGCUGACGCUGAGGCGCGACAGCGUGGGGAGCAAACAGG